GUUCUAUCAGUGCCUGCAUGGGAGAACUCAUGAGCUUUCAAACUGCCUUUAGAAAGUAGCAGUGGCAGUGACAUCCGACCAGAUUCCUGAUGCCGCUUCAGAGACACAUUCUCAUGCAGAAAUGGAGUAUGAUCCUGUCAUCCAUUUUGGAAAUCUGAAUUUUUUUUCUACAACUAUAAAAUGGUAUCAGUAAGGCUGAUCUUGCUUGACCAAGUAUUGAAUAACUAUGAAGCCAAGGACUGGGGAAGAGCUCCCUCCACUAAUAGCACCACGGGGAAUCCUGACAAAGUGAGCCAGCCCUCUACUCCUCUCCAGCUUUUCAUCUUCAGAGUCCAGAGGGAUCCCCAGAGGCAGGGAGUAAGCCUACUCCUCUGACCUUAUACCUCCAUUACUAAGAGUCAAAUGAAAAGUGCCAAAUCUUUGCAAAUCCAGGUAAGAUCCAUCCUCUCCUCCUGCCUGAAUACUGAUUAGACUCUACCAGCCUUGGGACCAU
rnacentral:lncRNA from 10 species